rnacentral:rRNA from 1 species
AACGUAGGUGGCAAGCGUUAUCCGGAAUUACUGGGCGUAAAGGGUGUGCAGGCGGGGGUGCAAGUGGUGUAUGAAAUAUCCCAGCUUAACUGGGAGGGGUUAUGCCAGACUGCAACUCUAGAGGACGAGAGAGGGGGGUGGAAUUCCGGGUGUAGUGGUGAAAUGCGUAGAGAUCCGGAGGAACCCCAGAGGCGAAGGCGGCCCCCUGGCUCGUACCUGACGCUCAGCCACGAAAGCAUGGGGAGCGAACGGG